AUUGAACGCUGGCGGCAGGCCUAACACAUGCAAGUCGAACGAGUGGCAGACGGGUGAGUAAUGUCUGGGAAACUGCGCGAUGGUGGGGGAUAACUUAUGGACACGGUCGCUAAUACCGCAUACCAUCGGAUGUGCCCAGAUGGGAGUAGCUAGUAGGUGGGGUAACGGCUCACAUAGGCGACGAUCCCUAGCUGGUCUGAGAGGAUGACCAGUCACACGGGAACUGAGACACUGUCCGGACUCCUACGGUAUGCAGCAGUGUGGAAUAUUGCACAAUGGGCGCAAGCCUGAUGCAGCCAUGCCGCGUGUAUGAAGAAGGCAUUCGGGUUGUAAAGUACUUUCAGCGAGGAGGCGUUACUCGCAGAAGAAGUACCGGCUAACUCCGUGCCAGCAGCCGCGGUAAUAC
rnacentral:rRNA from 1 species